rnacentral:rRNA from 1 species
UACGUAGGGUCCGAGCGUUGUCCGGAAUUACUGGGCGUAAAGAGCUCGUAGGUGGUUUGUCGCGUUGUUCGUGAAAACUCACAGCUUAACUGUGGGCGUACGGGCGAUACGGGCAGACUGGAGUACUGCAGGGGAGACUGGAAUUCCUGGUGUAGCGGUGGAAUGCGCAGAUAUCAGGAGGAACACCGGUGGCGAAGGCAGAUCUCUGGGCCGUAACUGACGCUGAGGAGCGAAAGCGUGGGGAGCGAACAGG